rnacentral:rRNA from 1 species
GAUGAACGCUAGCGGCAGGCCUAAUACAUGCAAGUCGGACGGGAUUUGGGAGCUUGCUCCUAAUGAGAGUGGCGCACGGGUGCGUAACACGUAUGUAACCUACCUUAAUCAGGGGGAUAGCCUCUCGAAAGAGAGAUUAACACCGCAUAACAUAUUUUUAUGGCAUCGUAGAAAUAUCAAAUAUUUAUAGGAUUAAGAUGGGCAUGCGGAACAUUAGCUAGUUGGUAAGGUAACGGCUUACCAAGGCUACGAUGUUUAGGGGAUCUGAGAGGAUGACCCCCCACACUGGUACUGGGACACGGACCAGACUCCUACGGGAAGCAGCAGUAAGGAAUAUUGGUCAAUGGGCGCAAGCCUGAACCAGCCAUGCAGCGUGCAGGAAGACGGCCCUAUGGGUUGUAAAAUGCUUUUGUACCGGAAUAAACCCUUUUACGUGUAAAAGGCUGAAUGUACGGUAAGAAUAAGGAUCGGCUAACUCCGUGCCAGCAGCCGCGGUAA